ACCCUAUUAGCCCAAUCGGAAGAGGCACGGGAUUUAAGCUCCCGAAAGUAUCGGUUCGAAUCCGUUAUGGGGUA
rnacentral:tRNA from 1 species